rnacentral:rRNA from 1 species
AACGAACGCUGGCGGCAGGCUUAACACAUGCAAGUCGAGCGGGGGAAGGUAGCUUGCUACCGGACCUAGCGGCGGACGGGUGAGUAAUGCUUAGGAGUCUGCCUAUUAGUGGGGGACAACAUCUCGAAAGGGAUGCUAAUACCGCAUACGUCCUACGGGAGAAAGCAGGGGAUCACUUGUGACCUUGCGCUAAUAGAUGAGCCUAAGUCGGAUUAGCUAGUUGGUGGGGUAAAGGCCUACCAAGGCGACGAUCUGUAGCGGGUCUGAGAGGAUGAUCCGCCACACUGGGACUGAGACACGGCCCAGACUCCUACGGGAGGCAGCAGUGGGGAAUAUUGGACAAUGGGGGGAACCCUGAUCCAGCCAUACCGCGUGUGUGAAGAAGGCCUUAUGGUUGUAAAGCACUUUAAGCGAGGAGGAGGCUCUUUUGGUUAAUACCCAAGAUGAGUGGACGUUACUCGCAGAAUAAGCACCGGCUAACUCUGUGCCAGCCGCCGCGGUAA